UGAGACUGUAGAUCGAAUGAGACAGGGAUUUUUGUGAAUGAUCUGGCCAGCGUCAUGGCCGCGGUGCGCCAUUAGCGCCCCCGGUACCCCUCCCACUGGCCCUUGAGCUCAGCCAGCAGCCGCUGCGGACUCCACCCACUCUACUCAAUGGCUCCGGGAGCUGGUGCGGGGACCAAGCCGGUUACCUGGCUUAAACGCGAUCGGAUCGUGCUCCAAGCUGGGGGAUGGGAGGGCUGGUCACAAGGGGGCCGCCCCCUGGCCCCUCCCCUCUCGACGAGUGGCCCCCAGCCCCGGAUUCUGCCCUCCUGCAGUGAUGAAUGGCACCGCUGUCCCGCGCAGACAAACCUCUUCCUGAAACAGAUUCUACUGGAGGUAACCACAGCGACGGAUUUUAGAGAAAGCUCCUGGAGUGGAUGUUCUGGCCUCACCUGGCCCCAGGCCUGAGCUUCUCAGAAAAAAAAUAUUCAUUGGGAAGGGGCGGGAGGUUGCAGGGAUGUCAACUCCCUUACGGUAAUCCCUUAGGGACCCAUCAGAAUAUGAUCUCUGGGAGUUAAGUGGAGAAAGGAAUUCUAGAGUGUGGGGAGGGGAAGCAUAAGCAAGGGCUUCAGGCUCUGAUAGGAGAGCGCAGGGACUUGCUAGCUGUGUGAGCUCAGAUAAAACACCUAACCUCUCUGAGUUGUGGCGUCUGUUAAACAAAAUUGGAAAUAAUCCCAACCUGUUAUGAACACCAAAUUAUAGUGUAUAUAAAGGA